CAGAGAGAGUAGAUCUAGACCAGUGGUUCAAGCUUGUUUCUAUAAUGUACCCCCCCUUUGAACAGUUUUUAAGCCACGUACCCUCUAACCAGUGCAAAU